GGCUCAGGACGAACGCUGGCGGCGUGGUUAAGACAUUGCAAGUCGAACGAGAAGCUCCCUUCGGGGAGUGGAGAGUGGCGCACGGGUGAGUAACACGUGAGCAACCUGCCGGGAAGCCCGGGAUAGCCCUCCGAAAGGAGGAUUAAUACUGGAUGUGGCCACCCUGCGAUUGCGGGGGAAGCUAAAGGAUUAUUCACUUCCCGAGGGGCUCGCGGCCCAUCAGCUUGUUGGUGAGGGUAACGGCCCACCAAGGCGACAACGGGUAGCUGGUCUGAGAGGAUGGUCAGCCACACUGGAACUGAGACACGGUCCAGACACCUACGGGUGGCAGCAGUCGAGAAUCAUUCGCAAUGGGGGAAACCCUGACGAUGCGACGCCGCGUGGAGGAUGAAGGCCUUAGGGUUGUAAACUCCUGUCAAGAGGGAAUAAGCAAGUGAAGGUACCUCUAGAGGAAGGGGCGGCUAAUUCCGUGCCAGCAGCCGCGGUAACACGGAAGCCCCGAGCGUUGUUCGGAUUCAUUGGGCGUAAAGGGUGCGUAGGCGGCGCGGAAAGUCCGGCGUGAAAGGCAGGGGCUCAACCUCUGGACUGCGUUGGAUACUUCCGUGCUUGAGGACUGGAGGGGAGACUGGAAUUCACGGUGUAGCAGUGAAAUGCGUAGAUAUCGUGAGGAAGACCGGUGGCGAAGGCGAGUCUCUGGACAGAUCCUGACGCUGAGGCACGAAGGCUGGGGGAGCGAACAGGAUUAGAUACCCUGGUAGUCCCAGCAGUAAACGAUGUGAGCUUGAUGUGGGGGGAUUCGACCCCUUCCGUGUCGAAGCUAACGCGAUAAGCUCACCGCCUGAGGAGUACGGCCGCAAGGCUAAAACUCAAAGAAAUUGACGGGGACCCGCACAAGCGGUGGAGUAUGUGGCUUAAUUCGAUGCAACGCGAAGAACCUUACCUGGCCUUGACAUGCAUUGUGUCGUCGGUGAAAGCCGGCUAGUCCUGGAAACAGGACGCUUUGCACAGGUGCUGCAUGGCUGUCGUCAGCUCGUGUCGUGAGA
rnacentral:rRNA from 1 species